rnacentral:rRNA from 1 species
AUGCACGACCGCAUGGAGUACGCCGUGAUCGGGCCCGACGCUGGUGCGAUGCUCGAGAAUGUCAAGGCAUGGAUCACGGUUUCUAGGACAUCCGUGGCAGAAGGCGGAUCAUCAAACCGUCACAUACCCGCGUAG